rnacentral:rRNA from 1 species
GUCUAUGGCCAUGCUACCCUGAACACACCCGAUCCCAUCUGAUCUUGGAAGCAAAGCAGGGUCAGGCCUGGAUAGUACUUGGAUGAGAGACCACCUAGGAAGAGCAGGUGCUGUAGGUG